rnacentral:rRNA from 1 species
GACGAACGCUGGCGGCGUGCCUAAUACAUGCAAGUCGAACGGAACGGCCCUGCUUUUGUGGGGUGGUCGAGUUAAGAAGGGGUGAGUAGCACGUGAGUAACCUGUAACUGACUGUGGGAUAACCUAAGGAAACUUAGGCUAAUCCCGGCAAGGAGCUCCUGCCGCAUGGUGGGGGUUGGAUGGUUUCGGCGGUUGGGGGUGGACUCGCGUCGUAUGGGGUUGUUGGUUGGGUAGUGGGUUACCAAGGCUUGGAAGCGUAGCCGGCCUGGGCGGGUCACCGGCCACAUCGGGACUGGGAUACGGCCCAGACUCCAACCCGAGGCAGCGGUGGAGAAUAUUACACAAUGGGAUGAAGCAUGAUGUAGUCACGCCGCGUGGGGUAUGUCGGCCUUCGGGUUGGAAACCGCUUUCGUCUUUGACGAAGCGUUAGUGACGGUAACGGGUAAAGAAGCACCGGCUAACUACGUG